rnacentral:rRNA from 1 species
CCUACGGGAGGCAGCAGUGGGGGAUAUUGCACAAUGGGGGGAACCCUGAUGCAGCGAUGCCGCGUGGGUGAAGAAGCGCCUCGGCGCGUAAAGCCCUGUCAGCAGGGAAGAAAAUGACGGUACCUGAAGAAGAAGCCCCGGCUAACUACGUGCCAGCAGCCGCGGUAAUACGUAGGGGGCAAGCGUUACCCGGAUGGACUGGGUGUAAAGGGGGCGCAGACGGCGAUGCAAGCCAGGAGUGAAAGCCCGGGGCGGAACCCCGGGACUGAUCUUGGAACUGCGUGGCGGGAGGGCAGGUGGGGGAGGCGGAAUGCCUGGUGUAGCGGUGAAAUGCGUAGAUAGCAGGAGGAACACCGAUGGCGAGGGCGGCCUGCUAGACUACUACUGACGUUGAGGACCGAAAGCGUGGGGAGCAAACAGGAUUAGAUACCCCAGUAGUC